GGCGAACGCUGGCGGCGUGCUUAACACAUGCGAGUCGAACGGAAAGGCCCUGCUUUUGUGGGGUGCUCGAGUGGCGAACGGGUGAGUAACACGUGAGUAACCUGCCCUUGACUUUGGGAUAACUUCAGGAAACUGGGGCUAAUACCGGAUAGGAGCUCCUGCUGCAUGGUGGGGGUUGGAAAGUUUCGGCGGUUGGGGAUGGACUCGCGGCUUAUCAGCUUGUUGGUGGGGUAGUGGCUUACCAAGGCUUUGACGGGUAGCCGGCCUGAGAGGGUGACCGGCCACAUUGGGACUGAGAUACGGCCCAGACUCCUACGGGAGGCAGCAGUGGGGAAUAUUGCACAAUGGGCGGAAGCCUGAUGCAGCAACGCCGCGUGCGGGAUGACGGCCUUCGGGUUGUAAACCGCUUUCGCCUGUGACGAAGCGUGAGUGGCGGUAAUGGGUAAAGAAGCACCGGCUAACUACGUG
rnacentral:rRNA from 1 species